CGUAGGCAGCAAGCGUUGUUCGGAGUUACUGGGCGUAAAGAGUGCGUAGGCGGUCUUUAAGUUUGGUGUGAAAUCUCCCGGCUCAACUGGGAGGGUGCGCCGAAAACUGGAAGGCUUGAGGAUGGGAGAGGCAUGCGGAAUUCCUGGUGUAGCGGUGAAAUGCGUAGAUAUCAGGAGGAACACCUGCGGUGUAGACAGCAUGCUGGACCAUUUCUGACGCUGAGGCACGAAAGCGUGGGUAGCAAACAGGAUUAGAUACCCUGGUAGUCCACGCCCUAAACGAUGCAUACUUGGUGUGAGCCAUUCAUUUGGUUCGUGCCGGAGCUAACGCGUUAAGUAUGCCGCCUGGGGAGUACGGUCGCAAGGCUG
rnacentral:rRNA from 1 species